rnacentral:rRNA from 1 species
GACGAACGCUGGCGGCGUGCUUAACACAUGCAAGUCGAACGGAAAGGCUCCAGCUUGCUGGAGUACUCGAGUGGCGAACGGGUGAGUAACACGUGGGUGAUCUGCCCUGCACUUCGGGAUAAGCCUGGGAAACUGGGUCUAAUACCGGAUAGGACCGCACUUUGGUGUGUGUGGUGGAAAGGUUUUUCUGGUGUGGGAUGAGCUCGCGGCCUAUCAGUUUGGUGGUGGGGUAAUGGCCUACCAAGACGGCGACGGGUAGCCGGCCUGAGAGGGUGGACGGGCACAUUGGGACUGAGAUACGGCCCAGACUCCUACGGGAGGCAGCAGGGGGGAAUAUUGCACAAUGGGGGAAACCCUGAUGCAGCGACGCCGCGUGGGGGAUGAAGGCCUUCGGGUUGUAAACUCCUUUCGCUAGGGACGAAGCUUUUUGUGACGGUACCUGGAGAAGAAGCACCGGCUAACUACGUG